rnacentral:rRNA from 1 species
CAGCAGCCGCGGUAAUACCGGCGGCCCGAGUGGCGGUCACUAUUAUUGGGCUUAAAGCGUCCGUAGCCGGGGUGGGAAGUCCUCCGGGAAAUCUGGCCGCUUAACGGUCAGAAUGCCGGAGGAUACUCCCAGCCUAGGGAGCGGGAGAGGCCGAGGGGAUUCCCGGAGUAGGGGGGAAAUCCUAUAAUCCCGGGAGGACCACCUGUGGCGAAGGCGCUCGGCUGGGACGCGUCCGACGGUGAGGGACGAAGGCCAGGGGAGCAAACCGGAUUAGAUACCCGGGUAGUCCUGGCUGUAAACGAUGCGGACUUUGUGUCGGACAAGCUAUGAGCUUGUCCGGUGCCGGAGGGAAACCGUUAAGUCCGCCGCCUGGGGAGUACGGCCGCAAGGCUGAAACUUAAAGGAAUUGGCGGG